rnacentral:rRNA from 1 species
UACGUAGGGGGCAAGCGUUGUCCGGAUUUAUUGGGCGUAAAGAGCGUGUAGGCGGCUAGAUAGGUCCGUUGUGAAAACUCGAGGCUCAACCUCGAGACGUCGAUGGAAACCAUCUGGCUAGAGUCCGGAAGAGGAGAGUGGAACUCCUGGUGUAGCGGUGAAAUGCGCAGAUAUCAGGAGGAACACCGGUGGCGAAGGCGGAUCUCUGGGCCUUACCUGACGCUCAGGCGCGAAAGCUAGGGGAGCGAACAGG